rnacentral:rRNA from 1 species
AACGAACGCUGGCGGCAUGCCUAACACAUGCAAGUCGAACGAGAUCCUUCGGGGUCUCGUGGCGCACGGGUGCGUAACGCGUGGGAAUCUGCCCUUAGGUUCGGAAUAACAGUUAGAAAUGACUGCUAAUACCGGAUGAUGACGUUAAGUCCAAAGAUUUAUCGCCUGAGGAUGAGCCCGCGUAGGAUUAGCUAGUUGGUGUGGUAAAGGCGCACCAAGGCGACGAUCCUUAGCUGGUCUGAGAGGAUGAUCAGCCACACUGGGACUGAGACACGGCCCAGACUCCUACGGGAGGCAGCAGUGGGAAUAUUGGACAAUGGGCGCAAGCCUGAUCCAGCAAUGCCGCGUGAGUGAUGAAGGCCUUAGGGUUGUAAAGCUCUUUUACCCGGGAUGAUAAUGACAGUACCGGGAGAAUAAGCCCCGGCUAACUCCGUG